CGCUGCGCUGAAAAAUCACUGGCCGUCAACAGGUGAGGUAGAUAUUUAUCUGCCUUGGAAGAAGCGGGAAAAUUGGGCUCGAUUUUGCACAGGAAAUAGUUUUUAGAAUUUGUCGCCUCAUUAAACGGGAGGUCCGUUUUGUCAUCAAUGUUAAAAUCAAUAUUUUAUUGAUUGUAGAGUUAUUUCCUGCAGGUCAGAACUAUGAAGGAGCUGAAUUAUGAUGGUGAAUGAAGAUGAAUCCAUAUCUAAGACAUUGCAGCUCUUCAGCACGAAUGUGGUUAGCAACAUGGCAGUGCAGAAGCCACGUUCCAUUGACCUCUGCCACCAUCUCCAAUGUCUGAAAUGAUCCUGGGAUCAGGUCAUACACAUCAGUGCGGUGAAGGUCUCAGCAUGAAAAUGGACGGUGUGAAUAUCUGCUUCAUUGCCCAUCCCAAACAGAUACCAGGAUUUAUUCUCAUCAAACACCAUGAAGAGGAGAGCAAAUUCUCUGUCCACAUCCGUUCUCUGUCUGUCCUGGUUCAGUACACCUGUCCUGCAGAUUAUUAGUGGCCCAAUCAGACCACUGGCUGUGUCCUAUAAAAU